rnacentral:tRNA from 1 species
GUGUGCGUAAUUUAAAAAAAANAUCAAGUUGUGACCUUGAAAAUAGA